AGAGUUUGAUCCUGGCUCAGGACGAACGCCCUUUGGCGUGCCUAAUACAUGCAAGUCGAGCGAGCUUGCCUAGAUGAUUUUAGUGCUUGCACUAAAUGAAACUAGAUACAAGCGAGCGGCGGACGGGUGAGUAACACGUGGGUAACCUGCCCAAGAGACUGGGAUAACACCUGGAAACAGAUGCUAAUACCGGAUAACAACACUAGACGCAUGUCUAGAGUUUGAAAGAUGGUUCUGCUAUCACUCUUGGAUGGACCUGCGGUGCAUUAGCUAGUUGGUAAGGUAACGGCUUACCAAGGCAAUGAUGCAUAGCCGAGUUGAGAGACUGAUCGGCCACAUUGGGACUGAGACACGGCCCAAACUCCUACGGGAGGCAGCAGUAGGGAAUCUUCCACAAUGGACGAAAGUCUGAUGGAGCAACGCCGCGUGAGUGAAGAAGGGUUUCGGCUCGUAAAGCUCUGUUGGUAGUGAAGAAAGAUAGAGGUAGUAACUGGCCUUUAUUUGACGGUAAUUACUUAGAAAGUCACGGCUAACUACGUGCCAGCAGCCGCGGUAAUACGUAGGUGGCAAGCGUUGUCCGGAUUUAUUGGGCGUAAAGCGAGUGCAGGCGGUUCAAUAAGUCUGAUGUGAAAGCCUUCGGCUCAACCGGAGAAUUGCAUCAGAAACUGUUGAACUUGAGUGCAGAAGAGGAGAGUGGAACUCCAUGUGUAGCGGUGGAAUGCGUAGAUAUAUGGAAGAACACCAGUGGCGAAGGCGGCUCUCUGGUCUGCAACUGACGCUGAGGCUCGAAAGCAUGGGUAGCGAACAAGAUUAGAUACCCUGGUAGUCCAUGCCGUAAACGAUGAG
rnacentral:rRNA from 1 species